GUAGGUGGCAAGCGUUGUCCGGAAUUAUUGGGCGUAAAGCGCGCGCAGGCGGUUCUUUAAGUCUGAUGUGAAAGCCCACGGGCUCAACCGUGGAGGGUCAUUGGAAACUGGAGAACUUGAGUACAGAAGAGGAAAGCGGAAUUCCACGUGUAGCGGUGAAAUGCGUAGAGAUGUGGAGGAACACCAGUGGCGAAGGCGGCUUUCUGGUCUGUAACUGACGCUGAGGCGCGAAAGCGUGGGGAGCAAACAGGAUUAGAUACCCUGGUAGUCCACGCCGUAAACGAUGAGUGCUAAGUGUUAGGGGGUUUCCACCCCUUAGUGCUGCAGCUAACGCAUUAAGCACUCCGCCUGGGGAGUACGGCCGCAAGGCUG
rnacentral:rRNA from 1 species